UACGUAGGGGGCUAGCGUUGUCCGGAAUCAUUGGGCGUAAAGAGCGUGUAGGCGGUCCGGUAAGUCCGUUGUGAAAGUCAGGGGCUCAACCCUUGAAUGCCGGCGGAUACUGUCGGGCUAGAGUCCGGAAGAGGCAAGUGGAAUUCCCGGUGUAGCGGUGAAAUGCGCAGAUAUCGGGAGGAACACCAAUAGCGAAGGCAGCUCGCUGGGACGUUACUGACACUGAGGCGCGAAAGCGUGGGGAGCGAACAGG
rnacentral:rRNA from 1 species